UCUCUGCUCUCUCUCUCUCUCCCUUAUCUCUUUCUCUCCCGAUCUGAGCGGCGGCGGCGACGCUUGCAUCUGGCGAAGCCCAAGCGCCCGGUGAGGCCACCUCUCCCCUCCCUCACAUGGCACCACCGCCCCAACCCAUACCCAGCUCCCUCUCCCCCCUCUCAUGGUAGCAGAUCUGAGCGGGACAAGGCUCCUUCGGUUCUGGUGGUUCGGAACGGGGCCCGUGGCCUCUGCUCCCUUAUCUUCUGGCGACUAGGAGCGUGGCGGCUGGUGCCCCCAUCUUCUUAGCCAUCCAUGGUGGCAACGACAUCCGUAAGCCCCCCGUCACUCUCUCUCUCUGCAGAUUUUAACUCCCAGCAAUGAACCUUCCAUAGCUCUGGGUGGUUGGUACGCCCAUCUCUCUGCAGAUUGUUCUAUUUUUAAAAAAAUCAGUGCUGCUUUGAUUCAUGGAAAUAAAGAAGCUUUUGAAGUAGUAAAGUUCAAACCCUAGCCAUCGAUUACUAUUAUUGUCUAUUUAUAUUGUGCGAUCGUGUAAGGGACCGGAUCACACUACCACUCAAUUGCUCACAGGCACCAUUGAUUCGAGUACAGAGUAUCGAUUACAGACUAAUUGAUAGUUGGGUACGAAGAACAGAGGAAGGGGAACGAGAGGAAGAAGAGAGCCGAGCCGCCGGGUGCCGUUUGCCGUGAUCCACUGGAUGCCCUCUCCUUCUGUGCGCCUGGCUUAAGUAGCUGGAGUGAUGAGUCUCGGAUGGGCCAAGUCCAUGGGCUGGCCCAAGGGGUAGGCCCUGUACGCGUACAGGUUAGGAGGGCUCCUAACAUCCCUCCCUCCUUAAAAUCCGGCUUGACCCCAAGCCGGCACCACCAAGAACUGCCCGGGUCCCAUUGCACUCGAUGGUCGUUGACUUGCUCAAAGUCGCGGUGGUAGCAGAAGGCGGGGGUGCCUUGAACGACAUGGGAGUAGUAGUCAUGGACGAUGGCGGCCCAGCCGAAGGAACUGUCGAGGAAGUAGUCAUUGUUGAAGCCGCUGGAGUACUUGAAGUCGACGGAGCCUUGUGCGAAGCAGGCAGCAAUAGCGAUGACACCCCUCCCUCCUUGAGAACGUUGUUGAUCGGAGCCGGUAAAGGGUACUAUACCACCCGUGGCAUGGGAUCUCUGGCUAAUCAGCUCCACCAUCAUAAUUGUCGACGACCGAAAAGUAGAAGCUGGGAAGGUGACAAGACAGCGGGCAACCAAGAUGGCGCACCUCCCUUUUUGAAACACCUCCCGUCGAGUCAAUUUCCUUAGCAACAACAAUCUAAGGCCUCUAGGAUCCCAAGACAUGUCAAGCUGGUCCAUGCCCAUGUCAAAUCCCAACAGAUCCAUAUCGUACGGGAGCAGAUAAUCUGAAUGGAGACCAAUUAGGGACCACCAGCCGAUAAAUUCAACAUUCUGCAAGUCGGUGAUGUCCAGCUGAUGAUCUAUGUAUAUCACAAGCUCGUGGGACAUAGCCCCACAUACAUCAAGUACUGGAAACUCACUUUUCGAACUGCUGCUGGGACUCGAACUUCUGCUGAUAAAGCAAUCAAAUCAAUGGGGUGUUUCAGCACUGCUGCUUCAAGGUUGUAGGCCGCUACUAUGCUUGACCAUCACAUGCGGCUGGUGAACAAAAAGAUCGCCAACUUGCUAAGAACUACAUGCGAAAUUAUCAAAGCUGAAUCUGAUUAAACUGUAGCUUGUCGAUGAGCCCACUGGGGUAAGUACAGGGAUAACACCAGGAGUAGUCUCCUCUUGUACCUGUUCCAAAGGCCGGUACUUCCCGGUCAGUACUAGGAUACUCCCAACAUGACAAGCUUUUCUGAUAUGUACGAUGGAAGUAAUGACACUUAGAACUGAAGUAUUGGAACUACUGCUAUCCAUCUUCCUGACCAAUGCAAACCUCGUCCAAUAAAAUACAGAAGAAAUGCUGUCGUGGACAAGAUAUUCAGUACAUUCCCGUGGCUGGAGUACUGCAUGUGGAAGAAAUGUUCCAGGACUUGAAGUUUCCUUCACCACUGUUUGUCUGCAACAUGCUUGACUGAAGUGUUCAGAACUGCAUUCUUUAGCAAAAUAGUCGUUGGUUAGAAAUUUCUCUUGAAUAAAAAAUUGCCAGUGCACUAGCAUUGUGCCCUUCAAAUUGUCAAGCCUAGGAAAAUCACAUACAGCCGUAUCAUGAUCUAGCAUGUGGUGCUUACAAAAGUUGCACUGCUCCUGGUUUUGACAGACAAGAUGACUAGCGCUCCAUAAUUUCUCAAGGCAAAAACAUUUAGCCCACUCCCUGACUUGCUUAGCAAUAACUUGAAACUGAGACUCAAUAAAUUCCACUGAAUCAAGGUCAUCAACAUAGAUAGUCGCAGAUGAACCAAAAUUAGUAACACAAGAAUAGUAGUCAUCAGAGGGCUCACCAUUAGGUAGUUUUGACCACCAUUUCAGUCGGACAUCAAUUAAUCGCCUGAUCACAGAGAUAGCUCUCGCCACCGAAUGGAUCCAACAAACAACCUUCUUCCAGGAACAUGGUGUUAGGUGCACACUUAGUAGAUACGUCCAGGAUGCUCUCAGAUCUGCAAUGCUCAAAAUUUUCCAAUGCAUUGACAUGCUCAAGACCUGCACUGCUCGNNNNNNNNNNNNNNNNNNNNNNNNNNNNNNNNNNNNNNNNNNNNNNNNNNNNNNNNNNNNNNNNNNNNCAGAGAGUACAGUCUGAACAGCAACACUGGCAAACAAACUGAAAAUUGGACCCUGAAGCUUGCAGCAGACUAGUUCAUAGGGGCCAAACUGCAUGAACUGAAGAAUUUUUUUGCUUGAAUGUUCGGUGCUUAGAGCAAGCAUUUUCUGCGUGCUCAGAAGUAGAUGUGCAGUCAUGAUAGCUAGAUUCGAAUGCUGCACUGGAGGAGCCGUAGUAAUAGAGCAAUCACAUAGUUCUGAAAGCCACUUUUUACCUUCAUGAAAUAACUUCUCACUAAAAGAUGAAUCAUCCUUGUCCUCUGAUGGCACGCCGAUUUGAAAUGAUGACCAUGGAGUUGGUCGAUUCUCAUUCCCCUCAGCCAUAUGAUCUGCCAGAAAUGACGGCCAUGGUGCCGGCCGCCUCAAAAGUCCUUGGUGCCUUGUGGGCAACGAGACAUCCAGAUCAUGGUCCCGGAACGAUGAUGUGGCGACGACUCGGUUCGAACAAUCCGUCGAGUAACUCACGAAUAUCUUGGCGACGAAGUCCAAGGGCACAUCAUAAGCAAACUCGAAAACCUCCUUGGCCUUUGUGGUGGAUGAGGAAACGCUUGUAGGUACUGCAGGUGUGGUGAGGACAUCGGGAGGGGCCUCCACCGCUGCGUACUUGCCCGGGUUGGAAGACACCACCGUGGCGGUCACCACAACGAGGGACUCGGCACUCAUGGCUGAGCCAGCGAGCUGCUCCACAUUCUUGUCGCUGAGGUCGAUGAAGGGCUCGGGGUAGAUGGUGGUGACCUUGUUGACGCUGUUGGUGGCGACAACUUGGUUCGAGCCAUCCGUCGAACAGGUGAUGUGCGCCAUCGCGAUGCAAGCAGGGGGGCGCAUCGUGGAUGACCUCGAGCACUUCCUGAGCCUUGGUGGUGUAGCUGGAGAUGUCGGGGACGGGCGUAGGUGAGGCAUGCGUCGUGGUUGAGGCCGCCGGAUCGACAAGCGAGGUGACCACAAGAGGGUCACCCACUCGUGCAAUACCCAAUGCUGAGCACAGCUCGUCUGCCUGAGCGCAUAACCUCUCGAGAUACCACAACAAGUGCUCCUUGGGGGACAUGGCAUCCCACUCUGGUGGUUUGACGGCGGGCAUGGUGUUGUCGCCGGUGGAAUUGUAGGAAUUGGGAGAAAAAUUUGAAGGGGAAGGGUGGUGCCUGGCUCUGUAUACCAGAUGUAAGGGACCCGAUCACACUACCACUCAAUUGCUCACAGGCACCAUUGAUUCGAGUACAGAGUAUCGAUUACAGACUAAUUGAUAGUUGGGUACGAAGAACAGAGGAAGGGGAACGAGAGGAAGAAGAGAGCCGAGCCGCCGGGUGCCGUUUGCCGUGAUCCACUGGAUGCCCUCCCCUUCUGUGCGCCUGGCUUAAGUAGCUGGAGUGAUGAGUCUCGGAUGGGCCAAGUCCAUGGGCUGGCCCAAGGUGUAGGCCCUGUACGCGUACAGGUUAGGAGGGCUCCUAACAGAUUGUUAGCAACUGAAUUGGAUAAUGGUUUUUGCAGGGCUACCUUUAGAAUCCGCAGGUAGAAGAUUUCUGCGAAGAUAAAGCAAAAUGAGGUACAAAAAAAUUCUUUGGAACUUCUACCAGCAAUUUCUCCUUUGCUGAACAUAUACAACCAUAAGAAUAGAGAAAAGUAUUUAUGUACUACAUGGAGUAAACAUGCCCUCCAGAAGUUCAAUCUGGUAGAUGUCAUGCUACCAUAACAUACAUAUAUAUACUGUAGAAAGAAGAUAAAUCAUGAUGUUGUUGAUGGAUUGGCUCAGCUGAGAAUGCAUGAAGUGUAUUUGUAAGAAAAAUAAUAGUAAUACCAUACGAAAAUAUGUAAUAAUAUAAAUAACAGCAGGUUAACAUACAGGGGCUGAAUUCUCAUGGUAGUUCACAUUAAUAAUCUUCAGUGUAAUACUAAAGCGAGAAUGACUCCAUUUUGAAAAUUAUUGUUGUUUGCAUUCUAUUUUCUAAGUUUUUUAAUAGAUUGAAUUUGAAAAUUAUUCUUUGCAGGGCAAAUUAAUCUUUGUAAGUACGGUGGAUGGUUGAGCAAAAAGGCCACCGGAAGAUGUCCAUAGUCAUAUGCCUGCAUUACAUCGACUUGAUGCUACUAUUUACUCUCAAGAACCUCUGUAAGUAUGUAUGUGAGAUAGCAAGCAAUGUUGGAUGCC
rnacentral:lncRNA from 1 species